ACUCCUACGGGAGGCAGCAGUGGGGAAUAUUGGACAAUGGGGGGAACCCUGAUCCAGCCAUGCCGCGUGUGUGAAGAAGGCCUUAUGGUUGUAAAGCACUUUAAGCGAGGAGGAGGCUACUGAGACUAAUACUCUUGGAUAGUGGACGUUACUCGCAGANAAGCACCGGCUAANNCUGG
rnacentral:rRNA from 1 species